UUCGCAAUGCCCGAAAGGGUGACGAAGCGACGCCGCGUGGGUGAGGAAGGCCUUCGGGUUGUAAGCCCUGUCAGGAGUUAAGAAAUGUAAGUGUGCUAAUAUCGCAUUUACUUGACGAAGGCUCCAAAGGAAGUCACGGCUAACUCUGUGCCAGCAACCGCGGUAAUACAGAGGUGGCAAGCGUUGUUCGGAAUUAUUGGGCGUAAAGAGCACGUAGGUGGGUUUGUAAGUCAGAUGUGAAAGCCUCCUGUUCAACGGGAGAAUUGCAUCUGAGACUACUGAUCUUGAGUAUAGGAGGGGAGAAUGGAACUUCUGGUGGAGCGGUGAAAUGCGUAGAUAUCAGAAGGAACGCCGGCGGCGAAAGCGAUUCUCUGGCCUAUUACUGACACUCAGUGUGCGAAAGCUAGGGGAGCAAACVGGGAUUAGAUACCCCGGUAGUCCUAGCCGUAAACGAUGGGCACUAAGUAGAGGGGUUUU
rnacentral:rRNA from 1 species